rnacentral:rRNA from 1 species
AAUCAACGCUGGCGGCGUGCCUCAGACAUGCAAGUCGAACGCGAAAUUUCCCUUCGGGGAGAAAGUAGAGUGGCGCACGGGUGAGUAACACGUAGGUAAUUUGCCUUUGGGUGGGGAAUAACUCAGGGAAACUUGAGCUAAUACCGCAUAAUGCAGCGGCUCGACAUCGAGACAGUUGUUAAAGCGGGGGAUUGGAGCAAUCCGACCUCGCGCCUAAAGAGAAGCCUGCGGCAGAUUAGCUAGUUGGUAAGGUAAUGGCUUACCAAGGCGACGAUCUGUAACCGGCCUGAGAGGGCGGUCGGUCACACUGACACUGACA